UGGGGAAUUUUCCGCAAUGGGCGAAAGCCUGACGGAGUGACGCCGCGUGUGGGACGAAGGCCUUCGGGUCGUAAACCACUGUCAGUGGGAAAGAUGGGUGCCGGUGUUAAUACCAUCGGCAUCUGACGGUACCUGCAGAGGAAGCCCCGGCCAACUCUGUGCCAGCAGCCGCGGUAAGACAGAGGGGGCAAGCGUUGCUCGGAAUUACUGGGCGUAAAGAGCUCGUAGGCGGUUGCGUAAGUCGGAUGUGAAAACUCAGGGCUCAACCCUGAGACGCCAUCCGAUACUGCGCUGACUUGAAUCCAGUAGGGGAGUGCGGAAUUCCUGGUGUAGCGGUGAAAUGCGCAGAUAUCAGGAGGAACACCCAUGGCGAAGGCAGCACUCUGGGCUGGUAUUGACGCUGAGGAGCGAAAGCAUGGGUAGCGAACAGGAUUAGAUACCCCUGUAGUCCCUGAGCGGGCUGGCAAGGCGCAU
rnacentral:rRNA from 1 species